AACAAUAAUUAUUGACGAGCAAAUAAGAAUAAACGAUUUGUUUAUUAAAAAAUAAUAAAAAUAAUUCUUUAGUCGCCAGUGUCACUUAGGUAUUUACUGUAAGAUUAAGUUUAAGGCAUCAUACACAUGAAACAAUAAUGUAAUUCUUAUCGAAAGGCUCUCUGUAGAGGAAUCUUAUAGUCAAUAAUUAGUAAGUCGAAAAAAAUAACAAUACGCCAUUAUUUAAUACCUAUCCAUAGCUGAUGAUAAUGCUGUCAUUAAAUUGUUUAAAUAAUUAGAUCAAGUUGUAUAAUACCCAGUGAAUUUGUUGUUUUUAGCCGUGCAUCUUAUUGCUUCGUUGUUUCGAUUAACCUAUUUUAUUUGGCAACCGACAAAUUGUUUAAUAAUUAUGAAGUUCUCGUGUGUGUGACGUCUGUUUAGCCUCAUCGUAUAACAGUUAUAAACAAUUAUCAUACUGUCACACAGUAUUUUCAUCAAUAAUUAUAAGUUGUUUACCACGUAAAGUAUCAGCCUUAAAUUACUACGUAGAGAAAAUUAGACCAACAAACCCCGAGGUUCAGCUAACCUCGGACACCAACCAUACAUACAUAACGUCGUUUAAAGAACCCUAAUUGGAAUCGCAAAUUACAAUCAGAAGAAAGAAGUUGAACCAUUUACAUUAACCGAAAACAAAGUAUAAUCUAAAACACAAAGCAAUUUCAAAACCAAAACCAAAACCAUAAAAAUAACCAUAACCAUAACCAUAACCAUAACCAAGAUUAAAACUGGAGAAAAUAAUAAAACCAUAAUCAAAAGAAAAAACUUAUACUAUUAAACAAUUUAUUAAUUGGUAAAUAGUAAACAGAUAUAUAAACUAAUAACGAAUUAACAGAAACAAAAGCAAAAGUAAAAACAAACAAGACAAAAGACCAUAAAAUAUAAACUAUAUAAAAUCAAUUAUUGAACGAUCUAAAUUGGGUUCCAACAAUUCACGAAAUUUAUUUACAUUAAAUCGUUGUG